rnacentral:rRNA from 1 species
GACGAACGCUGGCGGCGUGCUUAACACAUGCAAGUCGAACGGACAGACAGAGAGCUUGCUCUCUUGAAGUUAGUGGCGAACGGGUGAGUAACGCGUAAUCAACCUGCCCUUCAGAGGGGGAUAACAACGGGAAACCGUUGCCAAUACCGCGUACGACUCAUGAAUGGCAUCGUUGUUGAAUGCAAGGUGGCCUCCUUGUAUAAGCUAUCGCUGAAGGAGGGGAUUGCGUCUGAUUAGCUAGUUGGAGGGGUAACGGCCCACCAAGGCAAUGAUCAGUAGCCGGUCUGAGAGGAUGAACGGCCACAUUGGGACUGAGACACGGCCCAAACUCCUACGGGAGGCAGCAGUGGGGAAUCUUCCGCAAUGGACGAAAGUCUGACGGAGCAACGCCGCGUGAGUGAUGAAGGUCUUCGGAUUGUAAAGCUCUGUUAAUCGGGACGAAAGAGUUCUGCGUGAAUAAUGCAGAAAAGUGACGGUACCGGAAUAGAAAGCCACGGCUAACUUCGUGCCAGCAGCCGCCGUAA